GCACGUAGUUAGCCGGUGCUUCUUCUUCCGGUACCGUCAUCCACGCGGGAUAUUCACCCGCGCGAUUUCGUUCCGGCCGAAAGUGCUUUACAACCCGAAGGCCUUCUUCACACACGCGGCAUGGCUGGAUCAGGGUUGCCCCCAUUGUCCAAAAUUCCCCACUGCUGCCUCCCGUAGGAGUCUGGGCCGUGUCUCAGUCCCAGUGUGGCUGGUCGUCCUCUCAGACCAGCUACGGAUCGUCGCCUUGGUGGGCCGUUACCCCACCAACUAGCUAAUCCGGCAUCGGCCGCUCCUCUCGCGCAAGGCCUUGCGGUCCCCUGCUUUCAUCUCUCGAUCUCAUGCGGUAUUAGCCAGUCUUUCGACUGGUUAUCCCCCACAAGAGGACACGUUCCGAUGCAUUACUCACCCGUUCGCCGCUCGCCGCCAGGGUUGCCCCCGCGCUGCCGCUCGACUUGCAUGUGUAAGGCAUGCCGCCAGCGUUCAAU
rnacentral:rRNA from 1 species